GAGAGAUUGUGUAGAAGCACGGGAAAGUUGGGGAGGAACAAAAAUCAACAUGGGGGGAGGGGUGGAACGGGUGGCUCUAGAAAUUUGUCCCGAUCUUAAUGGGCGAAGGGAAUGUGCUCCGGAGGUCAAUAAAGCCCUCCAAAAUGAUGAAUGAUUGAGUACCUGUGAUGAUGAUAGUGAUUACCGGAGCAAUUAAACAGUUUGAUUAAAUGAGCCAUCAUAACAAUGAUGUCUGCGGGAAAUCAGCCCUCGCAUAUAAAGAAAGAUAGCGUGGAGAGCGGGCUGACAAACGCCACUGGGCAUUUCCGCGCCUCCCGAGCGCGCUGCGCCAAGCAAGCUGCCGCCGAGGGCGCGCCGUUCGCACGCAGCGGGGCAAGCAAGCUGCAAAGUAGCGCCGGGACUUGGAGCUGCUCCUGCGCGCUCGAUUUGAACGCCGUCUAGAGCCCAGCAAGCUGGAGCCGGUGUGCGGGCUUUCUCCCCUUUUCUUGACCCCCCCCUUCGCCCCCUCCCCCCUUCCUUUUCCUCUAGAGGACCUCUUCCAAGAUUAAAGCCAUUCUUAAGAGCGACGGCUCUGCUCCGUGGCUGACUUGCCCGGGACUCGACGAAAAGUGGUAUGUUGGCGACACAACCAUAUGGGAUGAAGACUUGUCAGCUGUGACCAUUUCCCUCUCCUCCGGUGAUUCAGCAGUGCUGUAGAGGAAGAAGAUGGCAUUGCUUUAAGAACUAUGGUCUGGGGUGAGAGACGCCCCUCCAGCUAUGUUGUUCUCAGUAAACAUUUCAGGAAAAGUUUAUGCACUCACCACACUCACUGUAGCAUCUGUAAGGAAAACAGCUGCUGUACUCACUGGGCUUUCAGCAGGCUGGCCUAGCAAUAUUUUGUCACCCUCUCCCCAUUCUUUGGCAACAUCAGCAAUAGGAAGAAAAACUGUUUGGGUUCACUGAGUUCAUUAAGUUAAUUCCAUUUUUUUAAAAAAGUUUUCAUUGCAAAUGCUUAUUCUAGUGUGUUCUUACUGCUUUGUAAGCCACCUGGCUGGCCAUUAUUGGUAGAAAGGUGAGGUAUAGAUGCCCUCAGUACUUUAGCAAGUGGCUCAUGUUUUGAUACAGGUACUGAAAUAAAAUUGUAUUUAUUGAAAA